rnacentral:rRNA from 1 species
AUUGAACGCUGGCGGCAUGCCUUACACAUGCAAGUCGAACGGUAACGCGGGGCAACCUGGCGACGAGUGGCGAACGGGUGAGUAAUGCAUCGGAACGUGCCCAGUAGUGGGGGAUAGCCCGGCGAAAGCCGGAUUAAUACCGCAUACGACCUACGGGUGAAAGGGGGGGAUCGCAAAACCUCUCGCUAUUGGAGCGGCCGAUGUCAGAUUAGGUAGUUGGUGGGGUAAAGGCCUACCAAGCCUACGAUCUGUAGCUGGUCUGAGAGGACGACCAGCCACACUGGGACUGAGACACGGCCCAGACUCCUACGGGAGGCAGCAGUGGGGAAUUUUGGACAAUGGGCGCAAGCCUGAUCCAGCCAUGCCGCGUGCGGGAAGAAGGCCUUCGGGUUGUAAACCGCUUUUGUCAGGGAAGAAACGCUCUGGACUAAUACUCUGGGGUAAUGACGGUACCUGAAGAAUAAGCACCGGCUAACUACGUGCCAGCAGCCGCAGUAAAAC